GAACUGACAUAUUCCAUUAACUCAGAUUGUCGGCAAUGCUCUGCGUAGUCUGUUCAUGCACAAAGAUUGAAAAUACAUCGCGAGCUGCACGCCUGCUUUUUUUUAUUGAAAAUCCAUAACUGAACUAUUGUCAGCAUCAUUACUAAACAUAGUUCUGACUUCUGAAACUAACUGCUAUCAUUGAAGUGAAACUCCUUUUGAAUUAGACUGCAGCGGCCAUAUAAGAAAUUUAUGAGUCUGAUUAACUACUCAGCUAGAAAUACUAUAUCAUUUUCAAUGUGUUAUUAGGAGUUCUAAGUCAUACAAGUAUGUGUAUGAUCCAAUCUGGAGCCUUCGGAAACAUGCUGAACUUGGUUGUCUAAUUCAUUUUUAUUGUGAAUGGCCUGAUGACAGUCCUGAUUUCUGCUUGAUCGAGAUAGAAGAUGGUAGCAGUAAGUAGUGUGCUACUGGAUAAGAACAGAGCCAAGCAAAGAGCCAGAUUGCUUCUUGCUGUGUGCGUUGCUUGAGAGAGAAGAGAGCACAAAUGAGCUUCUCCAUCAGACCAGAAAGAGCUGAAAAGGAUAAUUCUAUGUAGCAAGCUGGAAUUUAGUACUUGUUGCCUCUCCUUUUAAGUUUUAACCACAAGACUUCCAAGUUCUGAAGCUACUCAUAUUAAACAAAAAAGAACAACAAAAUAGUUAGCAUUUGUACUAUAACAAAUGGUCCAUGCUUUUUCCCAUUUGGAGCUUUUCUGUUUCUGGAUUAGCAAGCACAAUAACUGAUACAUGGACUAUUAUACUAUUAUAUUAGCAUCAUACUACUUUUAUUGACUUCUGCGUGUUGGACAGUUUGGAGAGCUUUCUCUUUAAGUCCACAAGAUUGAAAUUAGACAGUUUGGAGAGUCUCAUUCAACCUUAAAUCAGCUCCUAGGUAAACUCAUUCAAACUUGGUAGAUAACCAUAUUAAUCAAGCUAUACCUGCUGUUUUGUUGUACAGUUUGGAGUUAUAUACUUCCUGGUUGUUUAUUUUUUUAAGCUUGACCUUUUUUUUGGCAAACAUUCUUUAGUAUUUCGAUUUUUCUGCGCUGUCCAUGCUAGGAGCAUUGUGCUAAAAGAGAAGCAAAUGCUCAUGUUUUUUGAUCUUACAAGCAAUUCAUUAUAUAUCAUUCAGAAAAUGCAUCCCUUGUUUUGCCUCUGGGGCCUGUUAGAGGGGAGGUGAUUAUAUAUCAUUUCAGCCAAUGGAAGUGUCAUCAUGAUAUGUGUUUCUACAAAAGUUUAAUGAUGGCUCUUUGUUAAAUUCUUGCUGGUUCAUUCAAACUAGCUGUUCCUUGCCUAUAACUCUUUAGCAUGUGAGAAAUGAUGGCAUAACUUGCUUGGAUGGGUUCAAGAGCAGGGUUUAAUUGAUGCAAGUCUUUGAGGCUUUGAGCCAGGGAGGGAGAAGAAAAUAAGAGGGGAGGCCUUUUUUGCCCCCUUUUAUACGAUAUGACACUUGUAGCUGCGGAAUCCUGCAGGUGGUGGCAGUUGGGGACUCGAGCGCGCGAGGGAGGCGAAGAGAGCAUAUGCAGAUGGAGCGUGGGGGAUGAAUGUGGUUGUGUAGCAAUAGUUUGGCCUGGAACAAUGUAAUGGCUUUGUAUGUCUGAAAUUUAUACGUAGCGUUAACACGAGCACACUUAUUAUUACACAUAAAUAUUACAUAUGUUGUUUUUUUUACC